rnacentral:lncRNA from 1 species
GUAUAGUAAAAUCAAUAACAAUAAUAACGUAUCAGUGUAAUCUUACGAGUAAGAUCUGAGAAGGAAGAGGAUGUAUGAAAUUUUAUUCCUACUUUGGAAAGGUAAAAAAUUGAUUUUUGAUCAACCCCAGCUCAAAGUAAAACAUAUAAAGUAAGUAUGAUAGUGAAGAAUUUGAAAACAAUGGAGAAAAUUGUUAAGAAGCAUAAAUAACAAAAUGUGACGCUUCAUGCUACUAUCUUAACAAUGUAUGUAUAAAUGAAAUGUAAUUCAUGUUAUGUGGUACAAUAGUAAGACUGCUCUAUCCUUAAUCAGAAGUCUUAGUUUCGAGUUUUGGAUAUGAAAAAAAUCAUGUUGAAAGCGUUACCUUCGAAGAUGGAUCCUGCAGUGCAUGACUUGAAUUUAGUCAGGACUCUCAUACGAGCUCAAAACACAAGAAAAACCAAAAAUAAUGUAAUUCAUUAUGUCUAGGUUAAUGGAUUUCACCACCCAACAUGAUCAAUAGUAAUUUUACCUAUUUUUAUGUGUGACUCAAACACUUUACCUUAUCGAUCAAUGAUGGAGAUAGUCAACCACUUGAAUAAGCCUCACUUGUAAAUGAAUUUCCUUCUGCUUAAAUCUUUUUUUUAUCGUUAAAAAUUUAAGAUGUAAUAUUUGCUCCAUUGUUUGAUUAAUGGUUGUUAGAAUUGAAAUAGAAAAAUAACUGCAAAUUAAUUUAAUUUAUGCAAACUACGAUGGAAAUCUCGUAGCUCUAUAUAUCAUUAAGCUAAGCAAUUAAAUUAUAUAUCAUGAUAAUUAGCCACUUAGCCACUAUAAAAUAUUCUAUCUUCAAAGGAAACUAUAUAAAUUUGGUGAAUCGAUCAAUCAUUUUCAAUCAUUUGAAUCCCUUUAAAAGAAUUAGAAAUAUUAAAAAUGAUUGAAGUUUAAAAAUAAUUAGUCUUAGUAACAUCCAACCCACCAAGAUUGUUGGUUAGUAAUUAAAUAAUUUAAUGAUCACUAGUGUCACAAUAAAGGUCGUUUAGUUGCAUCAUUAUGUCCCUUAAUCACGUAAAUGAGUCGCUUAAACCCAUUUUAUAUUGUUAAUUACCAACUGUAUUACUCCAUUUAAUUUGUUGCAUGCAACUUUUUCCUCUUUCUUUUUUGAGAAACAAAGAGUGGACACAAAAGUAAAGAGAGUAAAUAAUUAUAGACAACAAAUAAAAUUUGUAUUUAAUCCAUUAUAGUCCUUCUGGUCUAUUUUAAUUGUCGUGCUUACUAAAAAUAACUGAUCUAAAAUAGUGUAUUUUUUUAGAAACUCAAGAUAUAAUGAACUAUUUAUUUAAUUUCUAUCUUUACCUUUACUCAACAAAUGUGAAAUGCUCAAUGAAAAAGGAAAAUACUAAAGAGGAGAAGGUCCAAAGUCGUCUCCACGUUGAAACCCUAAACUAAAAAAGUGAACUAUGUUUAGUUAUUCUUUCUCGAGCAUAUAUAUUCUUCCGUCAAAAGAGAUUCGAAAAAAGAAGAUGAAAUAGUAGAAGUACCCGAUUACAAGAACAAUUUUAAUUUAAAGUCAACCACAUGUCAUAGUCUGAUUCAUCCAUUUACCAUGUUCAGAUGUCACUCGACAUAAAGACUGUUCAGAAAUACAUUUUUUAUAGAAUAAUUAGAUUUCAGAUACUUCUUAAAAUUUAAAAUAUUUCUAAAUUUUGAUAGGUUCCAUGAAAGGGCGAAUGUAGAGACAUAGAGUGUAAUUACAAGAUUCAUCCAAAUUCAAAACCUAUAUAUAUGUUACAUUUCUAAAAAUAUAAAUACAUCGAACUCUAAUAAAUUUAUGAUAGAAUUUCGAUCUCAAACCUCUAAAAUUCAAAUUAACUUUUCGCGUCUAAUUUACGCCUCGAACAACAAAAAGUAUGGUAAUGGACGUGUGCGCAAAUGAAUGUUGUGGGCUGCGCAACAUGCUCUAUAAUAUGGGAACUAAAUAAAUAGAGCAAAUAUCACAUACGUCUAUAUGGGAACUCAAUAUUAUAAUUUUUCUUGGGAACAAGCAACUUAAUUAUUUACACAACACAAAUAUAAUAUAUAGUUCAAGCUAAG